rnacentral:rRNA from 1 species
CGGGGGAUAACAGCUGGAAACGGCUGCUAAUACCGCAUAAGCGCACAGAGCUGCAUGGCUCGGUGUGAAAAACUCCGGUGGUAUGGGAUGGGCCCGCGUCUGAUUAGGCAGUUGGCGGGGUAACGGCCCACCAAACCGACGAUCAGUAGCCGGCCUGAGAGGGCGACCGGCCACAUUGGGACUGAGACACGGCCCAAACUCCUACGGGAGGCAGCAGUGGGGAAUAUUGCACAAUGGGGGAAACCCUGAUGCAGCGACGCCGCGUGAGCGAAGAAGUAUUUCGGUAUGUAAAGCUCUAUCAGCAGGGAAGAUAAUGACGGUACCUGACUAAGAAGCCCCGGCUAACUACGUGCCAGCAGCCGCGGUAAUACGUAGGGGGCAAGCGUUAUCCGGAUUUACUGGGUGUAAAGGGAGCGUAGACGGCAAGGCAAGUCUGAUGUGAAAACCCAGGGCUUAACCCUGGGACUGCAUUGGAAACUGUCUGGCUCGAGUGCCGGAGAGGUAAGCGGAAUUCCUAGUGUAGCGGUGAAAUGCGUAGAUAUUAGGAAGAACACCAGUGGCGAAGGCGGCUUACUGGACGGUAACUGACGUUGAGGCUCGAAAGCGUGGG